UAUAUAUACAUAAAUGUGUAUUUGUGUAUAGGAAGACAGACAGAGAUGGUGAAGGAAGAAAGCGGAAUGAUGACGAUUCACAUACAGCAUAAGGAAGCCGGAAUAGGCCAACGGCGGCGGAAACUCAGCUUUACAACGGAGAAGAGUCUCCCCUUGCGAAGGAUCUUUCUCGACUUCUGCUAUCAACUCAACCUCGAUUAUGACGACAUUCGCUUUCGUUUUGAUGGCAGGCGACUAAACAAAGACAAAAGUGCAGAGGAAUGUGAAAUAGAAGACGGUGCUGUCAUCGAGGCUUUCCGUUGUCUAUGUGGUGGUGAAGAAAGCGGAUUGAUCACGAUUCACAUACGGAUUGAGCAGUUCGGAAUAGGCCAACGGUGGCGGAAACUCAGCUUUACAACGGAGAAGAGUCUCCCCAUGCGAAGGAUCUUUCUCGACUUCUGCGAUCAACUCAACCUCCGUUGUAAUGACUUUGCCUACAUUCUUGUUGCCAGGAACGAAGCCAGGUCACUAGACAAAGACAAAACUGCAGAGGAAUAUGGAAUAGAAGACGGUGAUGUCAUCGACGCUAUCCCUCAUCUGUAUGGUUGAGUGUAAUCCAUAACAUCUCUAUCAAGUUAUGGUUAGUCAGCAGCAAAAAGAAAAAAAUUGUGAUAUUUAUCGAAACUACCUACAUUCAUUGAUCACACUUCACUGCCGUUUCAAUAUUUAUUCUUCAAUCAACAACACAGUGCAGUAUUGUAUUUCAACAUAGAAUAGAAUAGAAUAGAAUAGAAGAAACAAAUUAUAAUGAGCAUAAGGUGAUACAAGCAGCACUAUUUCAUUAGGGACCAAAGAAAAAGAAAAAGAAAAGAAAAAAGAGCUAGAAAAGUAAUUGAAACAAAUAUGUAGGAAAGGUGGAUAGUAUCAAAAACUCCAUUUUCAUCCAUCAGGAUGACUUCCAGACCAAACCAGAAUAGACAUUAAUUUCAUGCAAUUAGCCCUUUAACUUAACGGCCGUUUAACAUCGUUAGGGCAAAGGGUUUAAUUGCACCAAAUUAAGAACUUCGGAAGUUUAGUUGAACUCAAGUCGAGUAUAAGGUGCUAUACGUGAUACGAGUAUCUUCUCGUCGACCACGGCGGCAGCGAACUUCUUCCUUGGAAAGGUCAUCCCGGCCUUGGGCACUAGCGUCCAUGUCCACGUGUCGCACCACAGCAUCGACAUUCGGUCGAUGAUGUAUAUUUUCCGGUCAAUUAAGACCAAUCAAAAAUGCGAGAAGAGAGAGAAAGCAGGGACGUUAUGGAAGAGGGUGUGGUGGCGGAGGUGGAGGAGGUGGAAGGUGGGGGAGUUGAGGAGGUAGGCCUAGCGGCAACAGACUGAAGAGAGAGAAGAGAGGGUGGAGUGAGGGACUCUAAAGAGGCAUUCUGGGACAAGGUCAUCGGGGAGGCUCGAAAUGGUGGUGUCGGCGCCGCCGAUAAUGGUGGUGGAGAGGACGGAGGGGUGGUGGGGCUGCUGGGGGUUGGGGAAGCAGAAUUUCAUCAGCCAUGAGAAGUGUCGGGAUGUGCACGAGUCAAUGCUGCAGCGACGGCGACGGUGGAGACGUGUUUCUAGCGAACUUGGCAAAGAAGAAGGCGUGGUCUCACCACCAACGAAAUUAAAAAUAAAAUAAAAUUAAAAUAGUUAACAGUGUUAAACAGCAGUUAAUUCGGAGGGGCAAAUUGCACAAAACUAAGGACUUCGGGGGUUUAGUUGAACCGACCUCGACCAUAGAGUGCUAGACGUAAUAAAGACUUCUAUGUUAAGGGCGUAUUUGAUAUUUAACUCUUGAUUUUAUUUAAGAGAAAAGUACUGAUUUUAAUUAGCUCACUCUUGCUCUCAAGACAUAAGCUCAACCAAAAUUAGGGAUGUGUAUAUAAGAGUAGGUUUAUUUAUAAUUCAUAUAUUACAGUAAGAGUCAAUGCCAUUUUAUCUUUUGCAGUAAAAUAGAGAAAAUAUUGGAGAGAUUUAAUAUAAUUCUACAUUGCUUUAUUGUAGAACUUGCAGUAAUAUACUUCAUUCGUCCCUUUUUUUUUCCACAAAAUCUUGGGUACACCCGAUUGUACCGUAUAAUCAGGUUGACCCGUAUCCAGAAUAGUUUUAUUGAUGUGAAUUGGGUUAAGAUAUGAAUUCAAAUCAGGGUACGGGUCAAAGUCUAAGUGAAGGUGCAACCCAGUUGUAUAUUACACAUGGGUGCACCUAAAACCACCUCGUUUUUUUUAUUGGCCGUUCCUCAAAUAACUUUAUAUCAAUUUUGAGAUACUAUCUUAUCACUAAUCAUACAUUAUUUAUUCUUACUUUUCACAUUUUCAUCAUUUUUAAUACUAAUUAUAACACAAUUUCAUAAUUUUCAAUACUAAUUAUAACAUUUUUUCACCAUUAUAAAUAUACUCAAUAUUUUUGUCUUAAAACCCAUGCCUCUCCUUCCUCUUGAAAAGUUAUUUGAGGGACGGAGGUAGUAGAACACAUGCAAAUUGGCUUAUUCAGUGAAGCUUAUUUAUAAACAAAAUUGGGUACAAACAACUUCAUAUUGGGCUGGGCCCAAUAUAGUUUCCCUUUUAAGCAUGGGCUACUAAUGGACCAAUCAAGCCCAUUUUUAGAUCUAAGGGUUGGGUAAUUCUAUCCAUAGCCCCCAUUUUACUCCGUGUAGCCAACAGUUAGAAUAAUAAUAAUAAAUAAAUAUAAAUUGACUAUUUCACCUUAUAAUCCAUAACCCCCAAAAUUAAAUAGCCUAUAGCUAAAGUAAUAAAAUAGUAAACAAUUAAACACCUGCUUGACCCUAUCUUUUUUGCUCCCACACUCCCUACAUACACAACCAUUCUUUUCUCUUCUUCACCACCGGUUUCCUUUCUAAUCUUGGAGUCUCAUUCCUUUCAAGAAAACACUCUUCCCUAUAUCAUGAUGCUUCCACGAGUAGAGUUACGAAUGCAAACACAAUCUCCACAUUUAUGUGUGAUAAGAAAUAUGUGUUGCUCAUGGAUCAGGUCGCCAAAUUCGGAGUGAAAGAAAAACACAAGGAUAAGAAGGUAGUGGUUUGUUCCUCGGAGAAGGAGGUGCCCCACUCGAUGCCGGAGCACAAGGUGGAGAUACAGAGGCUGGAAGAGGGCGAGGCGAUGGCGCUGAUCGAGUACGUAUGUGGGAAGUUGUACGCCGAAAUAGUGAGAUCGCCAAGAGGAUCAUCGAGUGCUGCGGAGGGAAUUCGCUGCUGAUUCACCUUGUGACUGUUGGGCUCAAGGACAAGAAAGAUGAUUACUCGUUGAAUAAUAUGGGCUAUAAGGCAUUUAAUUUAGGGGCUAUGAGCUAUAGGGUUAAAUAAUAAAUUAAAAAUAUUUGAAUAGUAGAUAACGAAAUGUUAAAGAUUUAUAAAAGACAUUGAUUUUUAAAGCAAAUAAUAUAUUAGAGUGUUAUAAGUAUUUAUCUCACUUUUAUCAUGCAUAGCAAAUGAGACUAGGGCUGGAAAAAUAUACCGAAAACUCGGUAUACCGGCCAUACCGUACCGUAAAAUACCGCAAAAUACCGAAUUUAAGGUAUACCGGUUUUUUUGGUAAGGUAUGAUACCGUACCGUAGAUUUACGGUAAGGUAAAGGUAUGGAUUUUCCAAAUACCGGGGUAUACCGGUGUAUACCGAUACCGCAGUAUAUAUCGAAAAAAUCAAUAAAUACCGUAUUAAAGGUAUAUACCAGAAUACGGUAUGAUAUCGUAUUACUGGUAUACCGAAUAUUACUGCAUAUACCGGUGAUGCGGUAUCAUACCUUAUUCUGGUAUACCUUAAUAUUCGGUAUAUACCGGUAAUAAGGUACAAUACCUUAUUCUGAUAUACCGUAGUUGUCCGUAUAUAUUGGUAUACCGAAAAUCGCGGUAUAUAUCGUAUCAAAAUCUAUAGUUUUAAAAUAUAUAAUAUUUAUUUUUAUGUCUAUAUUUUUAAAAAUAUUUAUAAAUUUUAUAAAAUGAUGUAUAUAAUCUAUAUUAUGUGAAUAUAUACAAUUGUACAUGAAUUUAUAAAUAUCAUCAAAUGAUACAAAAAUAAAUAAAAUAUAGUAUAUAGAAUAAGUCAUACAAUAAAAUAAAAUUGUUUAUUUUGAUAUUAUAGUAUAGUUAUAAUAUAUAACUAAAAUUAUUGUUUUACAAUAGAUUAUACAUCUAACUUAUAAUAGUUACAUAUAUAAUAGCAUAGUUAUAAUAUUAGUAUUAUAUUAUAAAUAAUAUUACGUCUAACAUAUAAAUUAUAUGUAACUUAUAACAUCUAUAUAAUUUACUAUAUAUUACAUGAAUGCAUACAAGUAUGCGAAUAUAAAUAUCAUCAAAUGAUAUAAAAGUGAAUAAAAUAUAAUAUAGUAUGUAAGUUAUAUAAUUUAAUAUAACUGAAUUAUUUAUAUUGAUAUCAUAACACAGUUAUAAUAUAAUAUUAUAUAUUAUAUAACUAAGAUUAUUGUACAGUUAUAAUAUAAUAUUCUAUAUUAUAUAACUAAGAUUAUUGUUCUACAAUAAAUUAUACAUCUGAUGUGUAGCAUCUAUGUAUAUAACAGCAUAGCUAUAAUUAAUAUUGAUAUUAUAUUAUAACUUAGAUUACAUCUAACUUAUAAAUCUCAUAUAACUUAUAACAUCUAUAUAGUAUAUAGUAUAUACUAUAUAACUUAUAAAUUUAUAAAUAUCAUCAAAUGAUACAAAAACAAAUAAAAUAUAGUAUAUAGUAUAAGUUAUACAAUAAAAUAAAAUUAUUUAUUUUGGUAUUAUAGUAUAGUUAUAAUAUAUAACUAAAAUUAUUGUUUUACAAUAAAUUAUACAUCUAACCUAUAAUAGUUACAUAUAUAAUAGCAUAGUUAUAAUAUUAGUAUUAUAUUAUAAAUAAUAUUACUUCUAAUAUAUAAAUUAUAUGUAACUUAUAACAUUUAUAUAAUUUAUUAUAUAUUACAUGAAUGCAUACAAGUAUGCGAAUAUAAAGUACGGUAUACCAAUUGAAUUUUUUCGUAUAUUGAUAAUACCGAUUAUUUUGGUUAUACCGUUAAAGUGCGGUAUACCGUGAAAGUACGAUAUACCGAAAUUCGGUAAGGUAUACCGAAAUAAAGGUACGGUAAAGGUUUUGUAUAUUCUCCAUACCGUACUAAGGUAUACCGAACUAAGGUAUACCGUAGGUAAAGGUAAGGUAAAGGUAUGAAUNUAUGGUUUAUCCUUUAUAGUUUAAUAGUUAUUUAAGUAGUAGUAUGCAUUAGGAUUCUUCAUCAUAUAAGUAACUAUUUUUUAUUAUAUACUUUUAAUAAAUUAAUAUUUUAAUUUUGCUACAAUCUUUGGAAUUAAAAUUAAUUAAGAUGAAACCUAUAAAAUAAAUAUGAAGACAAAAUUAGGUGAUGUUUAAUUUAAUUAAAUUAAAUUUUAAUUUUAUGAGUAUUGAUUAAUCAAUAAUUGAUUCAAAAAAUACAUUAAAAUGAUAAAUAUUGCUAUAAAAUAAAAUAAAAUAUAUAUUUACACGCAUAACAAUUUAUUCAUUAAAAUAAUUCCUUUUUACGUGCGAACGCACGUCAUCUCUGCUAGUAUACAUAAAUGUGUAUUUGUGUAUAGGAAGACAGACAGAGAUGGUGAAGGAAGAAAGCGGAAUGAUGACGAUUCACAUACAGAUUCAGCAGUUCGGAAUAGGCCAACGGUGGCGGAAACUGAGCUUUACAACGGAGAAGAGUCUCCCCAUGCGAAGGAUCUUUCUCGACUUCUGCGAUCAACUCAACCUCCGUUGUAAUGACUUUGCCUACAUUCUUGUUGCCAGGAACGAAGCCAGGUCACUAGACAAAGACAAAACUGCAGAGGAAUAUGGAAUAGAAGACGGUGAUGUCAUCGACGCUAUCCCUCAUAUGUAUGGUUGAGUGUGAUCUCCUCGUCUUCUUAGUUCUCUCUCUCUAAUUAGGGUAUAUAGGUGGAGUUCCAUUUAUAUGUAAUCC
rnacentral:lncRNA from 1 species